GUAGACUUUCUAGUCGGCCAGCCAAUCAAAAAGACCAUAAAGCCCCUGUAAGCGCUCUAUAUAUCAAAAUCCUUUCGUUAUUCGCGGUGUUUUAAGUCUCCCAAACAUCUCUCUGCGCGAUCGAUUGAAAUUCCAAGAAUCGAAGAUGAUCGAGGUGGUGCUGAACGACCGUCUGGGGAAGAAGGUGAAGGUGAAGUGCAACGAGGAUGACACCAUCGGCGACCUGAAGAAGCUGGUGGCGGCUCAGACGGGCACCCGCUCCGACAAGAUUCGGAUCCAGAAGUGGUACAACGUCUACAAGGACCACAUCACCCUCAAGGACUAUGAGAUUCACGACGGCAUGGGCCUCGAGCUCUAUUACAACUGAAGGUGUUCCGGCCUUAUUACAAUGUGCUGGUGGUGGGAUUGGCGUUUAGUCUCUACAAGAAGUGGCUGUAUGUAUUGAAAACCGGUUGUAUGCAUUGCAAACCGUAGAAUGAUGCAGAUUAAUGUUUUUCCUAAAACUAUUUGGCUACAUGUAAGGAUUAACUGCAUAUACAUUUGUGUUAUUUGUGUUGCCACACAUUCAGUCUCAGUAUUCAGUAUUAAUGGUUUGCGACUGUGAUAUUUUGAAUCAGAAUAUGUAUUACUCGGUCUUUAAGAUGGGAUUGAUCUAUAGAAAAGAAUGAUCUUUUAUUUGGAUGGAAUUUGGAGGGGUUUAGACAUAAAGGAAGCUCAUUCCUUUAUCAUCCUACUAAAUUGGGGAUUGGAAUGGAUAAGUUUCUUUCACGACUAUGAGUAACCAUCUUUUAUCUUCAACAUACCUAUAAAC
rnacentral:sRNA from 1 species